rnacentral:rRNA from 1 species
GACGAACGCUGGCGGCGUGCCUAACACAUGCAAGUCGAACGAUGAAGCCGGAGCUUGCUCUGGUGAAUUAGUGGCGAACGGGUGAGUAACACGUGAGUAACCUGCCCUUGACUCUGGGAUAACUGCGGGAAACUGUAGAUAAUACCGGAUACGACCCUAGGAGGCAUCUCCUGGGGGUGGAAAUAAUUGCGGUCAAGGAUGGACUAGCGGCCUAUCAGCUAGUUGGUGAGGUAAAGGCUCACCAAGGCGACGACGGGUAGCCGGCCUGAGAGGGUGACCGGCCACACUGGGACUGAGACACGGCCCAGACUCCUACGGGAGGCAGCAGUGGGGAAUAUUGCACAAUGGGCGCAAGCCUGAUGCAGCAACGCCGCGUGAGGGAUGACGGCCUUCGGGUUGUAAACCUCUUUUAGCAGGGAAGAAGCGAAAGUGACGGUACCUGCAGAAAAAGCACCGGCUAACUACGUGCCAGCAGCCGCCGUAA